AUGUUCACAGUUUUGGAGGCAAGAGACAUGCUGACUGAAUGCCAAGGGUCAUGUGACUCUUACGUAAAGGUUUGUACUUGCGUUCCUCAUCAUACAACAUCCUGUAGCACCUAUAAGAAAAGUGAUUAUCUCAUUUAUCUAUUAUGUGUUUUGUUUUUACAGGUUGGCAUGCUUCCUGACUCUGAUCCUGGGGGAAGGAAGAAGACUCCGAUGGUUCCUCAUUGCCGAAACCCGGUGUUUUUACACACUUUUUACUUUGCAAUCAGUGAGGAGGACCUUCAUAAGAGACUCCUCUUCACGGUGUGGAACUCUGACUCUACAACAAGGUGUUGGACAAUAAUAAAAUGAACACAAACUAAAAUGAAAAUGUGCCAUUUUUUUAGCAUUUAAAGCCAAAUAUAUUAGGUAUAAUGUUUUUAUUUUACAUGGCAGCAGACGUUUAAAAACCUUUUUCAAGCUGCCACGUCUUUUAUCCUAAUUUGAUGCAGCUGCAUGCAGCAUGUACUCUAAAUCUGGUGGAGUGAAUGUGUUACUUUUGCUUUCCUGCUUCAGCAUACUUAAUCUGAAACAAGGUCACUUGAUUUUUGGGCAAAUAAAUCUCAAAUGUUUCUGUGCUAAACUGUGGUGGCAGGCAAAAAGCAUUACUGUGUUCUGGAAAUAUAGACGGUUAUGCUGUUAAAUUCAUGUAUUAUGUAGACAAUUUGCUCUGAAUGUAGAAUAAUAACAGGAUUUCCCUGUUUUAUUUUAACAAGAUAGAAAUAACUUGCCUUGAGUAUAAAAAAUAAAACACCAUAAACUACAUGAAAUAAAUGUUAACACAGAAAUAUUGUAUACUGAGACAGUUCAACAGCUCUGUUAAGAUCAGGGAGUGAUUUUAAAGAUUAGGACCCAUUUUGGGACUGUUUCUAGGACACAGAUUAAGCACAAUUCUUUCAUUUUAGUAGAGAUCUAAGCUUUAUUCACACCAAAUGUCUCUGCUGUAUUCAUGAUAAAAGUCCUGUAGAACCAAAACAUACAAUUGACACUCAAUUGAUCAACAUCAACGUGCUCGUUUGAAUUGGGCAUCGUUUGAAUUUGAACGGUUCUGAUUUAAAUUCCCCAUUUAGAUUUCGGUUCUUAUUGAUUCUCAAUACAGAUUCUUGCAAGAUGCAAGGGCUGUUUCUCAAUACUGGAACACUGCUAGUAUGUUCUUGUGUACUCAACAAGUAUGUUCUUGGCAAAGACACCAGAAAGGUACGGGAGGACAAGGACAGUAUUUGGAAUGGAACCGUACUCCGUUGCGUCAUGGCAACAAGCACUGUUUGUUUCUAGCUACGAUUAAAUGACCUGACAUAAAAUAAAAGUCCAGCUUGAUCCUUAAAGAGGGACUGCACACCAUCACAAAACGUAACUCCACCUCUAGUCAAGAUUUGAAAAAUGCUAUGAAAGUGGGUGUUGCCAGGAGGCACAGAGUGGCAUGGCCAAGUGUGGGGUUGCACACAAUUAUGUACAAUAACAGACAACUUAAUAUUUCUUUAUUAGUAUUUCUGAUAUAAAACUCUACAGUUAUUAGAUUUCAUCUCUGACGUUCGGAGUAUAACGGUUGCGACACAAUGCAUUGUGGGAAACUGCUGUCCCAAGUCUGCAGAAGGAUGCAUUGAUGCAUCCUCAAGCAAGAACAUAUGCAGGAACUUUGAGUAAACUUGGAUGCAUACUUGGGAUUGGAACAGUCCUUGGGCCAUCGUUGAUGAUGUUUCACAAGGACAUGAGUACACAAGUACAGAGAAGUAAGCAUAUUGAGAAAUGGCCAGGGUCUAAAAACAAUUCACGUUUUAAGCGAGCCAGCCAUAGGUCUUACUUGAUUAAAUAAUCAACCUGGGAAGGAAGGGGACAAGUGGGGUGGCCCCAUAUUUCCAGGGGUAGUCCCCUCUGGCCACCCUUUGGAGCACCCCUGUAUCAAAGGCCUGGUUUGAAUCCUAUUCUGAGAAGAUAUUCUCACAUAUUCUCUGAACUUUCUUGUCAGCAAACAAGGUUGUCAGCAAACACAGCCGGCAGCAUUACCAACAAUCAUAACUGUGAUCUCUGCGGGACUGAUCUUUAGCCCUGCAGCACCUGUGUUCAUCUCAGAAGCAAUAACCAGAUCCAGCUGAAAUGUCAUGCAAUGUGCUUAUUCAACACACACCUCUGUUGUACUGCUGCUGUUGAGGAUGUCGUGGGAAGCACUGCCACUUCAGCAAAUCCUCUUUAACACCUCUGAAGGUGAGCUAAAGUAGUGCUCUAGCCAGGUUCAGUUGAUCUUUUCACAAAUACAAGCACCUUUGUAACGUGUGGACACAAAAAACUGUAAAGACUGAUUAGAUUUUCACUUACAUGCCAAUAUAAUUAAUCCAAAAUGUUCCAAAUAGAUAAACAAUCAUUGGAUAAUGUGAGUGCUCUAGUCAAAUACGAAACAAUGUCAGCAAUACACAAAUGAAAUUCACUAUUAAAAUUAAUAUAAAUAAGGAGCUGCUUCCUGUUGUUACCAAAGACGCAAUAAAGACUGUAACAGUUUGGAUAAUGGAGACUUGGACGAAUGUUUAACUUUAGAUUGUAGCCAGCAAUUGGAUCCAGAGGACUCCAAUGUUAUAUGCUUGGGAUCAUGUCACUUUCAAAAGACCAUUCUUUGCUACUUUUUUCGUCAUGCAGCCUCAAAUUAUUAGUUUUUUCUACUUAAAAAGCCAUAAAACCCCCCAGGUUCUGUACUUUCAUAGCAAAUAUCUCAUAGUUUCUGCCACUGAAAACAAAGUAAGACCAAAUGGUACGCCCGAAUUAUGAGUUUUAAAAUAACAAUUCUCAAUAAUAUUUAUUAUUGAGAUUUACAGUCAUAAUUAUGAGGUUCAAAAUCAUAUUUAUAAAUUCCAGUAGCAUAAUUGUUGGUCAGAAAUGUGCCUCUAUUCACACACAGGUUACAUUCACAGCAAAAGGUUUUUCAUAAAGGUGUUUUAAUUCUUUAAUUCCUGACACUAGAAAUGUCAGAUAGAAUAUUUUCAUUUUAUAUUCAAAUCUUUGUUGGACAAUAAUAAAAUUAUCCACUUGAACAUGUUUUAAUAUGUACUUAUUUAACAAGGCAAGUGUAAGAUUUGGUAGGUCAAGGUUUUAAGGAAAGUACUGACCUUGUUAGUGAAGCAGCAGUCUUAAAAUGAGGCCUGUCCAAUCCAAGGUUUAAUUAUUUAUCCUUUUAUUGUAAAUGAGGGAAAAGAAGCUAGUUGUUCAGUUGACUUAUUUGUUUGACCGCUGCAGAAACUUGACCUGGAUUAAACUUUCUCUCAAAAAUAUAAACCAGUGGUAAUUUUCAUGUGCUGAAAUAAUGUUAUCUAAACAAAUUUACUAGAUAUUCUUCUUUUAAUUAACCAAUGUUUAAAAACUGUAUAUUUGAAGUAAAUAAAACUACUUGAACCAACUGAGAAAGGAUGACAAACUCAUAUGUUGUCAUCCCAAUGAGAUGGCUGCUUGAUCCAGUUCCUUGGUUAUUUUUUACCAAAGUGCAGACACGAUGCAGUUCAGGUGUUCAUUCAACCUGACAGCCAGUUUGUCAUCAGAACAGCAUCAGCAGCUGCAUGGCUUCAUUCCAGCUGUGAGCUUGUCUACAACUGUUUUUCUCAUGUGUGCAUUACUGAGCAAAACCACUAAAACAACACAGUCGCACACACUCUCAGAACUGUCAUGCUACAUUCUCAGUGGCCAAGUGUUAUGAGUGUCUGGCCUGAGACUAGGAGCUCAGGGUUCAAAUACCUUCGGGUCAUACCAAAGACCUUGAAAAUGGGACCCAAUGCCUUCCUGCUUGAUACUCAGCUUUAAUGGGUUGGAUUGGCGGUUAAACCACCAACUAGUUCCUGAGCGCGGCCACUGUUGCAGCUCACCGCUCCCCACGGGGAUGGGUCAAUUGCAGAGAUGUAAUUUUUUUUUUUUUUUUUGUAAUUUCACCAGUGUGUGAUGACGACUAAUGGGACUUUUAUCAACGAUUUGCAUGUUCAGAUUGUUUUGUGUGUCUUCUUUAUGAGUUGUUAUUCUGCAGACCACUCCACACAAAGAAAAACAAAUUCUCCUAUUCUAAUUUGUUACAGAUGGAUUUUUAUGGAGCCAAACUGGGAAGAAAGAAAAUGCAGAAAACAUUAAAAACAGAAAGUUAACAUUGUUUUUUUCUGUACUGAAGCCGAGUUACACGAGAUCCUGAUUUUGCUCUUGGGUUUUCAUUGAUCUACUGAUUUAUUUUCUCUGUCUGCCUCUAAACACCAACAGAGUGAGUGUGCUGCUCGGUUGCACCAGCUUUGGCAUGCGCUCCCUCAUGGAAGCAGAGAAGGUAAGUUUAAACCAUCGACAUAUAAAUAUUGGACAAUACGUUUCCAUAGGCUUAAUAACACGUUUUUGAGGAUAAAUGGGAGGUGGCCACCACCACCAUUUUGACUGUCUCACAGGUUCCGUCAAGCCCAGACAAUUCCACAAAAGGGAAGAGAGGUGGAGCUGAGGGUGGGGCUGUAAGGCUGGGAUCAACUGACGACACCUGGUCGAACUAGCUACAAACUAACCUGAAGCUAACCCAA
rnacentral:lncRNA from 1 species